GACGAACGCUGGCGGCGUGCUUAACACAUGCAAGUCGAACGGAAAGGCCACUUUCGUGGUCCUCGGGUGGCGAACGGGGAAGUAACACGUGCGUAACCUGAACCUGACUACGAGAUAGGUACAGGUUACUGGGACCGGUACUGGAUCGGGAUCAUUGAUGCAUGCUGGGGGUUGGAUAGCUUCGGACGUUUUGGCUGGACUGUCGACGUAGCAGCUUGCUGGGGGGGUAGUGGGUUACCGAGGCGGCGUCGGGUAGCCGGACUGCGAGGGCGACCGGCCACAUUGGGACUGAGGGACGGCCCAGACUCCUACGGUAGGCAGCAGUGGGGAAUAUUGCACAAUGGGCGGAAGCCUGAUGCAGCAGCUCCGCGUGCGGGAUGACUGCCUUCUGGUGGAAAACCGCAUUCGGCAGGGGCGAAGCUUGUGGUGACGGUACCUGCAGAAGAAGCAACGGCUAACUACGUG
rnacentral:rRNA from 1 species